ACGUGCUUUCCUGUAUUUAAAUGAAAGUCUCACUUGUAUACUGUCCAGAUUUUAUUCCUCCUCGUUGUGCAGAGGUAAAGUCGUUCAGCUCGUAUAGUACUUGUGCAAACAUGAAGAGAAGCAUCUCAGUUGUCCUUUACCUGUCUCUAUCAUGCAUCUUUCACGUCUCUGCUGCGGCAGCUGUUUAUGGGAACUGCACAGAUAUCGAGGGCCACCACUACGAGCUUCCAGGGAAAGGCCGUAAAACAGAUCACGAGGGCUGCAUAAUCGUAAAUGAUCACUCUGACCCAUGCCAGUACGCCUGCUAUAUGCCCUAUGUACCACGAAAAGAAGUGUUACGGCGGCGAAACAAGCCGGAGGGAGCUUGGUGUCCGAUAUAUGUUAAUCGUGGUACCUCUAUAAGGCAAGACGUUGUUAUGACUCCCGGCGGAUGCAGAGACGGGCACUGCAAGUACAACUGAAACGCGGGGUACUUUCCUUCUUGCCCGCGCGGCUCGUCUCUUCAGUCUUCACUCGUCUACUGGUGUCGGUGCCGUCGGUGUCUGAUUGUUUCCUUCCUUCACAGCAAUAUUGGAAAUAUCUUACAGCGAAUGGUCUUUCUCAAUAAAGACGUGCACAGUUGUCAAAUCUU